rnacentral:rRNA from 1 species
UACGUAAGGGGCAAGCGUUAUCCGGAAUUACUGGGUGUAAAGGGAGCGUAGGCGGUACGGCAAGUCAGAUGUGAAAGGCAGGGGCUCAACCCCUGGACUGCAUUUGAAACUGUCGAACUGGAUUGCAGGAGAGGCAAGUGGAAUUCCUAGUGUAGCGGUGAAAUGCGUAGAUAUUAGGAGGAACACCAGUGGCGAAGGCGGCUUGCUGGACUGUAAAUGACGCUGAGGCUCGAAAGCGUGGGGAGCAAAC